rnacentral:rRNA from 1 species
UACGUAGGGGCAAGCGUUGUCCGGAAUCAUUGGGCGUAAAGAGCGUGUAGGCGGCCCGAUAAGUCCGCUGUGAAAGUCCAGGCUCAACCCUGGAAUGCCGGUGGAUACUGUCGGGCUCGAAUCCGGAAGAGGUGAGUGGAAUUCCUGGUGUAGCGGUGAAAUGCGCAGAUAUCAGGAGGAACACCAAUGGCGAAGGCAGCUCACUGGGACGGUAUUGACGCUGAGACGCGAAAGCGUGGGGAGCAAACAGG